rnacentral:rRNA from 1 species
GAACUGCGCGAACGUUAUUCGGAAUCACUGGGCUUAAAGAGUCCGUAGGCGGCCUGGCAGGUGGGGUGUGAAAGCCCACGGCUCAACCGUGGAAUUGCGCUCCAAACCGCCCGGCUCGAGGGAGAUAGAGGUGAGCGGAACUGAUGGUGGAGCGGUGAAAUGCGUUGAUAUCAUCAGGAACACCGGUGGCGAAAGCGGCUCACUGGGUCUCCUCUGACGCUGAGGGACGAAAGCUAGGGGAGCGAACGGGGGAUUAGAUACCCCGGUAGUCCUAGCUGUAAACGAUGAGCACUAGAUCGAGGGGACUCCCCACAUCCCCUUGGUCGUAGCGAAAGUGUUAAGUGCUCCGCCUGGGGAGUAUGGUCGCAAGGCUG